rnacentral:tRNA from 1 species
CGGGAUGUAGCUCAGCCUGGUCAGAGCGCCGCGUUUGGGACGCGGAGGCCCUCGGUUCGAAUCCGAGCAUCCCGA